rnacentral:rRNA from 1 species
GAUGAACGCUGGCGGCGUGCCUAACACAUGCAAGUCGAACGAAGCUUGACGGAUGAUUUCUUCGGAAUGAAACCAGAUAUGACUUAGUGGCGGACGGGUGAGUAACACGUGAGCAACCUGCCUUUCAGAGGGGGAUAACGGCUGGAAACGGUCGCUAAUACCGCAUGAUGUGUUCGGAUGGCAUCAUCUGAACAUCAAAGAUUUAUCGCUGGAAGAUGGGCUCGCGUCUGAUUAGAUAGUUGGUGGGGUAACGGCCUACCAAGUCUACGAUCAGUAGCCGGACUGAGAGGUUGAACGGCCACAUUGGGACUGAGAUACGGCCCAGACUCCUACGGGAGGCAGCAGUGGGGAAUAUUGCACAAUGGGGGAAACCCUGAUGCAGCAACGCCGCGUGAAGGAUGGCGGUUUUCGGAUUGUAAACUUCUUUUCUUAGUGACGAAGACAGUGACGGUAGAUAAGGAAUAAGCAUCGGCUAACUACGUG